AGUUCGAUCUAGCUCCGUUGAACGCUGGCAGGAUGCUUUAUGUUCAGUCGAACGGCAGUACGGACUUCGGUCUGGUGGCGAUGGCGAACGGGUGAGUAAUGUAUCGGAACGUGCCUAGUAGCCGGGGGAUAACUACGCGAAAGCGUAGCUAAUACCGCAUACGCCCUUCGAGAAAAGCGGGGGACCUUCGGGCCUCGCACGUAUGCGACCUUAGAUAUCCGGAUUAGCUAGUUGGUGGAGUAACGGCUCACCAGGCGACGUCGUAGCUGGUUUGAAGAGACGACCAAUACACUGGGACGAGACACGGCCCAGACUCCUACAGGAAGCAGCAGUAGGGGUGCCCGGACCAAUGAAGCCCUGAUCCAGCCAUCCCGCGUGUGCGAUGAGGGCCUUCGGGUUGUAAAGCUUUUGGCGGGAAAGAAACGGCACCGGGAUAAUCUUACAGCUGACAGUACCUGCAGAAUAGCGCAAUAACUACAUUACCGUAGCCGCGGUAAUACGUAGGGUGCAAGCGUUAAUCAGAUUACUGGGCGUAAAGCGUGCGCAGGCGGUUCCGGAAAGAAAGAUGUGAAAUCCCAGAGCUUAACUUUGGAACUGCGUUUAGCUACCGAGCUAGAGAGUGUGCCAGAGGAGGUGAAUUCCCGUGUAGCGGUGAAAUGCGUGGUGUGCGGAGGAACACCGAUGGCGAAGGCGGCCUCACCGGAUAACAACGCUCAUGCGCGAAAAGCGUAGAACGACAGUUAGAUGCCCUGGUAGUCCCGCCCUAAACGUCAUCGUGGCUGUUGGGGCCUUCGGGCCUUACGGUAGCGCAGCUAACGCGUGAAGUUGACCGCCUGGGGAAGUACGGUCGCAAAGAUUAAAACUCUCAAAAGGAAUUGACGGGGACCACUGAAGCGGUGGAUGAUGUGGAUUAAUUCGAUGCAACGCGAAAAACCUUACCUACCCUUGACGUGUCUGGAAUCCCGAAGAGAUUUGGGAGUGCUCGCAAGAGAACCCGGAACACAGGUACUGCAUAGAAGCUGUCGUCAGCUCGUGUCGUGAGAUGUUGGGUUAAGUCCCGCAACGAAGCGCAGCCCUUGUCAUUGGAUUGCUACGAAAAGGGCACUCUGACGGGGCUACCGGUGACAAACCGGAGGAAGGUGGGGAUGACGUCAAGUCCUCUGUGGCCCUUAUGGGUAGGGCUUCACUGCAUCAUACGUGGUGGGACAGAGGGUCGCCAACCCGCGAGGGGAGCCAAUCCCGAAACCGAUCGUAGUCCGGAUGCAGUCUGCAACUCGACUGCGUGAAGUCGGAAUCUGCUAAUAAUCGCGGAUCAGCAUGUCGCGGUAGAAUACGUUCCCGGGUCUUGUACACACCGCCCGUCACACCACCAUGGGAGUGGGUUUUACCAGAAGUAAUUUAGCCUAACCGUAAGGAGGGCGAUUACCACGGUAGGAUUCAUGACUGGGGUGAAGUCGUAAUAUAAGGUAA
rnacentral:rRNA from 1 species